GGCGAGAUAGCUAAGUUGGCUAGAGCACACGGUUCAUACCCGUGGUGUCGAGGGUUCGAAUCCCCCUCUCGCUACUA
rnacentral:tRNA from 1 species